AGCUCCAAUAGCGUAUAUUAUUGAUGUUGCAGUUGAAACGUUCGUAGUCGAAACUGAUCUGCUCCGGCACCCUGUCUGUAACUCACAGUAGGGUUGUCCAUCGGCAGAGAUUGCGCUUCUCGUUGCCGUGUUUCACGACGGCGUUGCAGCGCUUUACUUUGAGUGAAUCGGCGUGUUCCACGCAGGCUCUACGCCUUGAACGAUUUACCAUAGUAUAUCCAGAAUUUGAGGGUACUUCCUUGUCCUUUCGGAGGUACUUUCGAUACAUAUAAGAACGGUUGAGGGCAUUCGUAUUCAACUGCCAGAGGUGAAAUUCUUUGAUUAGUUGAGGACGAACAAUUGCGAAAGCAUCUGCCAAGGACGUUUCUG
rnacentral:rRNA from 1 species